rnacentral:lncRNA from 1 species
CAUAGCUGGAGCUCUGAUCCCACGGGUCCAUGAGGUCUAGUGCACUUGAUGGGUGAUGGGAUUCCUGGGCUUGUAGAUGGCAGAGCUUUGCGCGCGCGCGUGUGUGCCUGCGUGUGCGCGUGCAUCUGUGUGUGUGUGUGGGGGGGGUGGGUGCAUCAAGACAGCGGGUGAAUAGGGAUCCAUUCAAUUGCUGGCGUUUGGAGAGGGCCUGAGGGCAGAGAGCAAACCUUCCAUCUGCGCUAUCGAGGGGGAAAGAUUACUGAUCCAUAGUGAGAAGCUGGAAGAUCAUUGCUGAGACGGAGAAGAACCAAAUUCCCAGGUCGGAACAGACAAGGCAGAACUCAAAUGGUGCCAAAUUCCAAUUAAACAAGUUUCCACCUCUGAACAAGAUCUAGGUUCCUGAGGUCAAAGAAAGAUUUCCCUGGAAUUGGUGUGUCUGCGCGAGGAGACCAGCCUUGUGGGCCAAGAGGGAGUUGGGACCAGUGAACAGAUGGGAAGUGACCUCGGGGGGGCUGGGAGAUAAGACUCAUGAGUUGCACGCGUUUCAGGAGAGGAGACUUGCAAGGGCAGGAGCGCGGAUGCCAGGGCACCGACACUGGCGAGGACACCCGCAGCUGGAGCGCAACGGGCGUGGAGACCAGUACGGAGUCAAGCGUCGCCACCGUUGCAGGAGAGGGCACUUGGCAGCUGAGAAGACUUGCACUGUGGGUGUCACGGGCGUUGUAGGCGACGAGACAGGUCUUGUGCACGUGGAGACGGGCGAUGAGACUGGCGACAGGGGCUUACGCAUGGAGACUGGAGAGGAAGUCUCUGUCCGGGGCAUCACCAACAUCCGGGGCGUGGAGACUGGCGUCACAGACGUCGGGGGCGUGGAGAGGGGCGAGGAGAUUGGCAGUGGGGUUUGACCAGCGAGGUGCGGAGACUGGCGUGCGGGGAGUGGAGAUUGGCUUGGAGACAUGCGUCCCAGGAGUCGUGGGCAUUGAAGUUUCUUUCCAGGAACAGGCUGACCACAGGCGGGAAAUACACCUGCAACGCAUCCAUCACAGCUGACAGAAGAAUAGAACAAUGUGAUGCCCGGAGCCUGUCAUGCCUGGAGACCAACAUCCCUGGCCCCCCUCAUUGCCCAUUUUCCCUCUGUAACUGCCUCAAGAUUCUCUAAACCUUGAAGAUGGGUUUUGUGAGACAUUAGUCACCUAUCUUGUGAUUAGCCGGCUAAUCUAAUUAAACUUCCUUUCUCGA